UACUGGCAGUUUAAUUAAGAACGAUAUACCCCUUGUAAACGUUAAGAACGUUAUGAAGCCAUGAAAGUCUCGCUUUUUUCUCAUCGUUUCGGUCGCCAUGGAAGACCGCGUGUUCUUCAUGGAAUACACUUUGCAGUUAUUUCAAUUUCACCGUUUCUCUUCCAAGUCAGUUAUUGAUAGGAUUUCCAAGAAAUAUGAUGGAUCCUCGAAAUGGCGUCGAAGAGGAUAUUGACGAGAGUGAUAUUUCGAAAGUCGAUGGAACAUCGGCGGAGCGAGAGUCAUACGUUAUAGGAGCAAAUUCCAGAAAUAAGAGAGACAAUUUGCUAUAUGACUUCCGCGGAAUAAAACGUAACGAGGGUGACAUUUGUCGAAGGAGGAUCAUUUGAACUGGCUAUUACAGAAACGGAAUGAAACAAUGGCGACUAUAGUCUACAGUCUGUCUUUCCCUUUGGGAAGAAGGAAAUGUCAGUUCUUAUCUAGUCGAGUCCUUUAAAGGAAGAAGAAGAAGAAGAAGAAGAAAAAUAAGGAAAGGAAGGCUUAACAUCUGUUGUAGAAAGAAGAAGUUUUGGAGUUGAGGAAAAGAAAAAUAGAAGGAUGAAGCAUAGAAUUCCAAAAAUAAUUAGAGUAAAAGAAGUUCUCUGUGAACGACGAACACACGUUUCUCGGUUAAUAAAACCUUGAUCGAGCAUCGACGAUCUACACCAAGAGAAAAAGAGGCAGAGAGAUAGAGAUAGAUAGAUAGACAGAUAGAUAGAGAAGGAGAGAGAGAGAGAGAGAGAGAGAGAGCUGCGUGAAAUUUGAGCUCACUGAAGUGCGGUGGCCUUCGAUCCUAUAUUUCGUUGUUCGUCGAUAAAGAGAAAGAGAGACACAAAGAGAAAGACUCGUUGAGGCUCGGCGUUCGACAAUGGGCAAUUUUCUCUGACCGGACGAGAAGUUUCGUGGUCAGCCUCGACUACGAUUAGAUAGGAACCAGGGUAAUGGCGGGAGGUUCAAUCUGCAUUCGUAAUGACGAACGUGGAAGGUGACACAGUGUCUGACCUCGGUGCAGUGACAUCGGCCAUCUAUUAACCCCUGGAGCCAUACGCCUGCUCUCGGUUCUCUGUCAUGGAGAGGAAGAGAGGAUGAGAGAGAGAGAGAGAGAGAGAGAGAGAGAGAGAGAGAGAGAGAGAGAGAGGAGUACCAACCAGUUGGAUCUCCCUUUACCACCCUGCUAAUGACCUCUUUGAACAUUGUCACCAUCCUACUAUUCUUAUCAUCAUUUCUCUUUUGAUUCAAUUCUAGAUAUUAAA